ACGGAAGGCAGCAGUGAGGAAUAUUGGUCAAUGGACGCAAGUCUGAACCAGCCAUGCCGCGUGAAGGAAUAAUGUCCUAUGGAUUGUAAACUUCUUUUGUAUGUGAGCAAUAAGGCGUACGUGUACGCUGAUGAGAGUAGCAUACGAAUAAGCAUCGGCUAACUCCGUGCCAGCAGCCGCGGUAAUACGGAGGAUGCGAGCGUUAUCCGGAUUUAUUGGGUUUAAAGGGUGCGUAGGCGGUCUGGUAAGUCAGCGGUGAAAUGCUAUCGCUCAACGAUAGAAUUGCCGUUGAUACUGUCGGACUUGAAUGCGGAUGCCGUUGGAGGAAUGUGUGGUGUAGCGGUGAAAUGCAUAGAUAUCACACAGAGCACCGAUUGCGAAGGCAUCUCACGAAUCCGCUAUUGACGCUGAGGCACGAAAGUGUGGGGAUCAAACAGGAUUAGAUACCCUGGUA
rnacentral:rRNA from 1 species